rnacentral:rRNA from 1 species
AUUGCACAAUGGGGGAAACCCUGAUGCAGCGACGCCGCGUGAGUGAAGAAGUAUUUCNNNAUGUANAGCUCUAUCAGCAGGGANGACNAUGACGGUACCUGACUAAGAAGCCCCGGCUAACUACGUGCCAGCAGCCGCGGUAAUACGUAGGGGGCAAGCGUUAUCCGGAUUUACUGGGUGUAAAGGGAGCGUAGGUGGCGAGUCAAGUCAGAUGUGAAAGCCCGGGGCUCAACCCCGGGAUUGCAUUUGAAACUGGUUUGCUAGAGUGCAGGAGAGGUAAGUGGAAUUCCUAGUGUAGCGGUGAAAUGCGUAGAUAUUAGGAGGAACACCAGUGGCGAAGGCGGCUUACUGGACUGUAACUGACACUGAGGCUCGAAAGCGUGGGGAGCAAACA